rnacentral:lncRNA from 1 species
AUCGGCGCUGGGUUGGAGGUCGGGGCCAUCUCCUCUUCGGCGACCUGCUCCGGGACGGUUUCAUCCACCGCAGUAGCGUCCCCCGACGAUGGGUCGGCCACCUCUUCUGUGGCUUGGUCCUCGGGUCCUGGGGGGAUGAUGCCGUUGAGGUCGAGCUCCGGGUACAAAGCCUGGACUGCAUCCCGAGCAUCUUCGUACCCCACCCGG